ACGAACGCUGGCGGCGUGCCUAACACAUGCAAGUCGAGCGAGGAGAUUCCUUCGGGAUGAUCCUAGCGGCGGACGGGUGAGUAACACGUGGGCAACCUGCCUCAUAGAGAGGAAUAGCCUUCCGAAAGGGAGAUUAAUACCUCAUAACAUUGCAGUUUCGCAUGGAACAGCAAUUAAAGGAGUAAUCCGCUAUGAGAUGGGCCCGCGGCGCAUUAGCUAGUUGGUGAGGUAACGGCUCACCAAGGCGACGAUGCGUAGCCGACCUGAGAGGGUGAUCGGCCACAUUGGGACUGAGACACGGCCCAGACUCCUACGGGAGGCAGCAGUGGGGAAUAUUGCACAAUGGGGGAAACCCUGAUGCAGCCAACGCCGCGUGAGUGAUGACGGCCUUCGGGUUGUAAAGCUCUGUCUUCAGGGACGAUAAUGACGGUACCUGAGGAGGAAGCCACGGCUAACUACGUGCCAGCAGCUGC
rnacentral:rRNA from 1 species